rnacentral:sRNA from 1 species
CAGCCGCGUCCGCCCCGCUUCUGUGCAGCACGCCUCAAGCCAGUGCAGAAAUAACCGCGACUAUCGCCAAUACACCCGUUUAUGCGCGUGAACACGAGUUGGCACAAGCGCUGCAUAGUCCCUUUCAGAUCAUUCAUAACGCGCAGCCUUCAACGAUGAAGGCUGCGCCUCCCGAGAGAACGGGACCGGACAAAGGCGUCCCCGUCAGGCAACUGGCGGGACGCC